GCAUAAUAUUAUUUUUCAGAAACUCUAAAUAAUUGCAUGAGAACCAAUGAAAGGACACUAGCUGGUUUGUUCAUUAAAGAUAAAUGGGGAAACUGCUAAUUAAUGGAACUCACGAUUAUUAAUCCACAAAUGGACAAGACAAAAAAAUAGGUACAAGCUCUAUAGCUGUUCUGAUCACUUGACUAAGGGAGAAAGCACUAAGG